rnacentral:rRNA from 1 species
CCCUUAGACGUUCUGGGCCGCACGCGCGCUACACUGACGAAGGCAACGAGCUUUCCUUUACCGAAAGGUACGGGUAAUCUUUUGAAACUUCGUCGUGCUGGGGAUAGAUCCUUGCAAUUUUUGAUCUUAAACGAGGAAUUCCUAGUAAGCGCAAGUCAUCAACUUGCGUUGAUUACGUCCCUGCCCUUUGUACACACCGCCCGUCGCUACUACCGAUUGAAUGGUUUAGUGAGGCCUUCGGAUCCGCGACUCGUUUUGUGGAGAAGUUGGACAAACUCAGUCAUUUAGAGGAAGUAAAAGGCGGAACA